UGCGGAGCGGACUCCCCUGACUGCCUCCUAUGCUCAGAUUGUGUUUUCUAACAACCACCUCCCCUCUUUCUUCAUGUGGUCUGUGGGAGACACACGAGGUGUGUCGAAGUGUGAACUCUCCAAACUCCAGCCUUCUCUAUAGAUCCUUGGGUUGGUGCUCCUCUUCGUUGGACAUAGUUAUCAAUCCUUGGACUCAGAGAAUCAAAAAUGCUCCCAUGCCUAGAAAGCAAGACUCCUGCGGGUAUUCUCCGAAACCUACUCAUGGUGGGGCUGCCAGCCCCUGCCCCUGCCGCGCUGUGCUGGGCUCUUCUUGGGUAAAGCAGUUCUUACUUUCAUGCAGUUGUUGUUUCCAAUCUGCACUCCACAACAGUUCUCCAAGGUGUUGAAGAAGAAGGUCAUGGGAAAGUAAAGCGGGGGAGAGCAAUAGAGGUUGAAGAAUGGGUACCUGCUGUUGGAUUUGGUCCUGGAGCCCAGGAGGUAUCUUGUCUUUCAUCUCCCUGCAAACAGCACAGAGUUCUCAGGCUUUCUAUUCAAGAGGCUAGUUCCAUCACUGUGGACCCCUCAACCCCAGCUUUUCCCUGGCUUAUGCCUUCUUCAGGAACCGGUUUGGAGCCCCUGUCCAGGUGCAGGUUGUCCAGCAUGUCAGAAACUGAGCUUUCCCCAGGGUCAUUCAUUUCUGUACCUCUCUGGCCUGACAACUCUCUGCUGCUGUUUCUGU